CAAUAGCGUAUAUUAAAGUUGUUGUAGUUAAAAAGCUCGUAGUUGGGUUUCUGGCAGGAGCGACCGGUCACACACUCUGUGUGUGAACUUGCGUUGUCUCUGGCCAUCCUUGGGAAGAUCCUGUUUGGCAUUAAGUUGUCGGGCAGGGGAUACCCAUCGUUUACUGUGAAAAAAUUAGAGUGUUUAAAGCAGGCUUAUGCCGUUGAAUAUAUUAGCAUGGAAUAAUAAGAUAGGACUUCGGAACUAUUUUGUUGGUUUGCGUUACGAAGUAAUGAUUAAUAGGGACAGUUGGGGGUAUUCGUAUUUCGUUGUCAGAGGUGAAAUUCUUGGAUUUCCGAAAGACGAACUACUGCGAAAGCAUUUACCAAGGAUGUUUUCAUUA
rnacentral:rRNA from 1 species